rnacentral:tRNA from 1 species
CGCGGGGUGGAGCAGUUGGUAGCUCACCAGGCUCAUAACCUGGAGGUCGUUGGUUCGAAUCCAACUCCCGCAA